AGGACGAACGCUGGCGGCGUGCUUAACACAUGCAAGUCGAGCGGAAAGGCCCUUCGGGGUACUCGAGCGGCGAACGGGUGAGUAACACGUGAGCAACCUGCCCUUAGCUUCGGGAUAGCUCCGGGAAACCGGAAUUAAUACCGAAUAUGACUGCGGCUGACAUCAGCCACGGUGGAAAGUUUUUCGGCUAGGGAUGGACUCGCGGCCUAUCAGCUAGUUGGUGGGGUAAUGGCCUACCAAGGCGACGACGGGUA
rnacentral:rRNA from 1 species